rnacentral:lncRNA from 1 species
UUUAGUAGCUCCGCCAGUUGGGGUAGUUUAGCCAGCUGUUGCGGCACAGGCCGGUGAUGGUCAUGCCAUGUCUUCUGAGGGCUUAUUGAGAUAGGACAAGUUUACGAAGCUCUUUCCAGAUCACUUCAGUGGAGCAUCUUCUGAGGACCCAUGGGAUUAUCUUGACCGCUUCCAUGAGGUAUUGUGGAACAUGGGUAUAGUUGAGACACUUUAUGCCAAUUUUACUGUGUUUCAGAUGACGGGUUCUGCCAAGCGAUGGUGGAUGGAUUAUGUAUCUACCGGACCAGCUGGGCCUGCUCUUACUUGGG